GAUUUCAACUGAAAAAGUCAUCAAUAACAAAGUUGUAUAAAUCAUCAAGAUCUAUAACUUUUAUUUUGGUCAUUUUUUUCAUCCGACAAAGUUAUUUGUAAGAUUGUUCACAAAAUGUACAUAUCUCUUAUAUAGUUUAUAAAACUAUAAGAGAGAUGUACAUUUUGUGAUCAAUCUUACAAAAAUCUUUGUCGGAUGAAGAAAUGACCAAAAUAAAAGUUAUAUAUCUUGAUGUGUUAUACAACUUUGUUGUUGAUGACUUUUUCAGCUGAAAUC
rnacentral:pre_miRNA from 1 species